AAUGCCCCUCAAUAGAGAUGAAAAUAAAACAGAUAAUUGAGCUAAGCCCUUUCGUACUGGCUAAGGGAAUUGUGGUCUGCAGGGGAGUUUCCUUUUCCUGCUGCUCCCCCUCACCCCCUCCAUGUGCAGUUAUUCCUACCUGAUCGCAGGUGCAAGCCUGGAUUUCUGCUGGGUCUUCUGCUGCCUUGUUAGAAUCUAAGCUGUCAUGUCCACAUGCUCUACAUCUUCCUCCACUGAACUGCGAGCCCACUUCU
rnacentral:lncRNA from 1 species